GGAGAGGUGGCCGAGCUGGCUGAAGGCGCUCGCCUGCUAAGUGAGUGUGGGGCUCUAAACUCCACCGAGGGUUCGAAUCCCUCCCUCUCCG
rnacentral:tRNA from 2 species